UACGAAGGGUGCAAGCGUUACUCGGAAUUACUGGGCGUAAAGCGUGCGUAGGCGGUCUGUUAAGUCUGAUGUGAAAUCCCCGGGCUCAACCUGGGACCUGCAUUGGAUACUGGCGGGCUAGAGUACGGUAGAGGGUGGUGGAAUUCCCGGUGUAGCAGUGAAAUGCGUAGAGAUCGGGAGGAACACUCGUGGCGAAGGCGGCCACCUGGACCAGUACUGACGCUGAGGCACGAAAGCGUGGGGAGCAAAC
rnacentral:rRNA from 1 species